UUUAACAAUAUUCUCCGAGUUCAUAAUCCUAAGGCACAGCUAUGGAUUAUGAACCGAUAGGGUAGAAUUGGAAACGGUUCUGCCUCCCGAUGGAAAGGAGAAGCUGAGCAAUAGUAU
rnacentral:ncRNA from 1 species